UACCAUGGUAACGGCGGCAGUGCAUUAUGGGUCUGACGUCACACCAAGUCCAUCAUGGCUGCCAGGGCGAUGUUGUUACGGAGGGCCGCCGUCUUCUCCCCGCCUGUUCAACACUUUCUCAAUGUCAGAUAUUUGUCAACGGGAUGCAUUGCUCAGAAAGACAACUGGCUGAACAAGCUGCUGGUGCGGAAAAUCGAGCCCACCAAAGAAUCUCACUCUCGCAUGUUGUCCGACAAAGAGGUUAUAUUUGAACUGCAAGCCCAUAACCUCAAACCUGGUACAGGGAAACCUUAUCUUGAGAAUUAUGAAGAGUAUGUGAAAGCUGUUGUAGACAAGUUUGCAGAUAAGCCCGUUCACCCAGAACUGCAAGGAUCGUGGACUGUUACUGUUGGAGAUCAAGACCAGUGCCUUCACUUAUGGAAGUAUGCUGGAGGAUAUAGUUCUAUAGACGCAGCUAACAAAUUAUUUGCGUCGGAUCCAGAUUUGUCCAGACUGAUUCAGGAUAGAAAUCAGUAUUUACGACAACGCUCAAAUCAGUACCUGCUACCCUUCAGUUUUUGGCCCCCAGUAUCACCACGUGAGGGUGGAAAUAUAUACGAGAUUCGCUCGUAUUUUCUCAAGCCCGGCACGAUGAUCGAAUGGGGCAAUAACUGGUCGAGAGCUAUUCACUUCCGACAAGCAAACAAUGAGGCCUUUGGAGGGUUCUUCUCGCAAGUUGGCCGCCUCUACAAUGUUCAUCACAUCUGGUGCUACAAGAGUUUGGAGGAUCGUAAGGAGAAUCGAGAAUCUGCAUGGCGUAAACCUGGUUGGGACGAGGUUGUUGCCUACACUGUUCCCCUCAUAAAGGAGUACUACUCUCGUAUCCUCCUCCCCACCUCCUUCAGCCCCACACAUUAGGUCAGCCAAUGCCAAGACCCAUUUGAAGUGGUCACCUAAUGUAAGGUUGAAGAAAGUAAGGUUACAAAUCUUUGGCAGCAAGAAAGGAAGCUCGGGAAAGUGCGUGGCGUCAUCCAGGAUGGGACGAGGUCGUGGCAUACACAGUGCCUCUCAUUAGCGAGAUGCAUGCCAGGAUCCUUGUACCAAAUAGUAUUUCCCCCGCUCAGUAAUAAUCAAAUGGCCUCUGGUUUAAGUACUCCCAAAGGGAUGUUGAUAUCUGGCAUUGUGUGUAUAUAUAUACAGUAUAUCUAAUG
rnacentral:misc_RNA from 1 species